UACCUGCAGCUCGAGUGGUAACCGCUAUUAUUGGGCCUAAAGCGUCCGUAGCCGGUUUGGUAAAUAUCUGGGUAAAUCGUGAGGCUUAACUUCACGAAUUUCGGAUAGACUGCCAGACUUGGGAUCGGGGGAGGUCAGAGGUACUCCAGGGGUAGCGGUGAAAUGUUGUAAUCCUUGGAGGACCACCGGUAGCGAAGGCGUCUGACUAGAACGAGUCCGACGGUGAGGGACGAAGCCCUGGGGCGCAAACCGGAUUAGAUACCCGGGUAGUCCAGGGUGUAAACGAUGUGGGCUUUGUAUUGGAGGUCCCACGUGGGCGUCCAGUGCAGAAGAGAAGUUGUUAAGCCCACCGCCUGGGAAGUACGGUCGCAAGGCUGAAACUUAAAGGAAUUGGCGGGGAGCACAGCAACGGGAGGAGCGUGCGGUUU
rnacentral:rRNA from 1 species